UGGGCAUCUGCAUGUUCCUAGGACACUCACCACUGGUCACCUAAGGCUCUAAUUCUUGAGACACAUGGGUCAAGGAGUACUCCCAUGUAUCUGGUUGCAUUCUCCAGUACCCUCUUUCUCCACGUCAACCCCUACCACGGUCUGUUUCAUUGCACAUGAGAAUUAACUGAGGAACAGCGCAGCCGAUUCCAUCGGCAGCGCCGGGCACCGCGCUGGCAGGCAGGCAUAGUGCCAGGCAGAAUUUUUUUCAAUCUCGGCAGACGAAAGUAUCUCACAUCACCACCCAAGGUCAAGAAAUAGCAUCACCUUGGUAGAGACAGUGGAAAGCAUUGAGGAGAGUUGUUCUGCCAGACUUGCCGGGAACUGUGACCAGUACAGGGCUCUGUCACGUAGGAGUAGACAAGGAGAGACAAGGAAAGGUAGUGUGAGGCCAGCAGCGGCUUCGAGAGCGAAGGCUUUGGCGGUGCCUGUCAGUGCUAUUUUGGCAAGAGCAGGUUGGGCUCAUGAGUCCACAUUCGCUAGACAUUAUGACAAGGAAAUUGUUAACACUUCUGAUACAUUUCAAGAGGCGGUUUUGCAUCUUGACCAAUAAUAUGUGCCUGAAUGUUCAUGUACUUGUCUGUGUUUGUAAAUUUUCUUUUUUGGGUAUAUUCUUGGGCGGUGAUGGUUGCACUUCGGGGUAAUGCAGGCAUUGUGAUCUCUGUCAACUCUUACGUGGAAUAAAUUUUGCGUCACGUAA